GAUGAACGCUGACAGAAUGCUUAACACAUGCAAGUCAACUUGAACUUCGGUUUGGGUGGCGGACGGGUGAGUAACGCGUAAAGAACUUGCCUCACAGAUAGGGACAACAUUUGGAAACGAAUGCUAAUACCUGAUAUUAUGAUUUUAGGGCAUCCUAGAAUUAUGAAAGCUAUAUGCGCUGUGGGAGAGCUUUGCGUCCCAUUAGCUAGUUGGAGAGGUAACGGCUCACCAAGGCGAUGAUGGGUAGCCGGCCUGAGAGGGUGAUCGGCCACAAGGGGACUGAGACACGGCCCUUACUCCUACGGGAGGCAGCAGUGGGGAAUAUUGGACAAUGGACCAAGAGUCUGAUCCAGCAAUUCUGUGUGCACGAUGAAGUUUUUCGGAAUGUAAAGUGCUUUCAGUUGGGAAGAAAAAAAUGACGGUACCAACAGAAGAAGUGACGGCUAAAUACGUGCCAGCAGCCGCGGUAAUACGUAUGUCACAAGCGUUAUCCGGAUUUAUUGGGCGUAAAGCGCGUCUAGGUGGUUAUGUAAGUCUGAUGUGAAAAUGCAGGGCUCAACUCUGUAUUGCGUUGGAAACUGUGUAACUAGAGUACUGGAGAGGUAAGCGGAACUACAAGUGUAGAGGUGAAAUUCGUAGAUAUUUGUAGGAAUGCCGAUGGGGAAGCCAGCUUACUGGACAGAUACUGACGCUGAAGCGCGAAAGCGUGGGUAGCAAACAGG
rnacentral:rRNA from 1 species